UACGGGGGGUGCGAGCGUUGUCCGGAAUCACUGGGCGUAAAGGGCGCGUAGGCGGGUGCUCAAGUCCGGGGUGAAAUCCUCCAGCUCAACUGGAGAACUGCCUCGGAUACUGGGUGCCUCGAGGGUGGUAGGGGUAUGCGGAACUAUCGGUGGAGCGGUGAAAUGCGUUGAUAUCGAUAGGAACUCCGGUGGCGAAGGCGGCAUACUGGACCACAUCUGACGCUGAGGCGCGAAAGCCAGGGGAGCAAACGGG
rnacentral:rRNA from 1 species